UCGCGGACUCCCAGACCCUAUCAACCUCGAAUACCAGGAAACGCUCCGGAGAUGAUGCCAACAUUGGCGUGUCAACCCCGCCAUCAAAACAACAAAGAAACCUAGUUGGCCGCAGCAGUGCCGUCCUACUAACACAUUAAGUUACACAAGAUCGGCCACAGCACCAUCUUAAAUCAAUAUAUAUAUAUUUUUUAAAUUUAUUUUAAUUAAAAGCACUUCUUGCUUCUCAUCCCACUUGUCAUUGGCAGAAUCGUCGAAAUUGACAUCGACACGGAUUGCCAUAUACAAAAAUAGAAUAGAAUAGAAGUUUGAUUAAAUGA
rnacentral:lncRNA from 1 species